GGGAAGAGCCCAAACCAACAAGCUUGCUUGUUGGGGUUGUAGGACUCCAAUAUGGUAGUCUGUUAGUAUAGUUGAAGGAUUUGGAAAAUUCCGCUAAAGAGGGUGAAAGCCCCGUAGACGAAAUGCUGACAACACCUAGGAGGAUCCUGAGUACGGCGGAACACGAGAAAUUCCGUCGGAAUCCGCGGGGACCAUCCCGCAAGGCUAAAUACUCCCUAGUGACCGAUAGUGAACCAGUACCGUGAGGGAAAGGUG
rnacentral:rRNA from 1 species